rnacentral:rRNA from 1 species
GUGGGGAAUAUUGGACAAUGGGCGGGAGCCUGAACCAGCCAAGUCGCGUGAAGGAAGAAGGAUCUAUGGUUCGUAAACUUCUUUUGCAGGGGAAUAAAGUGCAGGACGUGUCCUGUUUUGUAUGUACCCUGAGAAUAAGGAUCGGCUAACUCCGUGCCAGCAGCCGCGGUAAUACGGAGGAUCCGAGCGUUAUCCGGAUUUAUUGGGUUUAAAGGGUGCGUAGGUGGUUUGAUAAGUCAGCGGUGAAAGGUUGCAGCUUAACUGUAAAAAUGCCGUUGAAACUGUCGGACUUGAGUGUAAAUGAGGUAGGCGGAAUGCGUGGUGUAGCAGUGAAAUGCAUAGAUAUCACGCUGAACUCCGAUUGCGAAGGCAGCUUACUAAGCUACAACUGACACUGAAGCACGAAAGCGUGGGGAUCAAACAGGAUUAGAAACCCUGGUAGUCC